CGUACGCAGACUUGGCCUAUUAGUCAAGGGCCUUCUCAGCCACCGUAGCGGGUGGGAGGGGCUUGGCCUGAGCCUCCGGGAAGUCUGCAGCGACUUGAAUACUGUCCCUGUCACUGGGACGAAUUCCGGAAUAGAGUCCAGGCUUCCUAAGGCUUCUUCUCUGCCUGACUUCGCGUGACUGCCGAAUUCUGAGGCCGUCCCAGGGAUCUGUCUCUGUUUGUAGCGGUGAAUGGUGCUCUCCUCAUGGUAGUCCAGGCUUCCCAAGACCCAAGCCUUAAUGAUCCAAGGACCGGCGCCUUUCUUUGGACAUUCCUUAAUACAUUACUUCCGCCAAUCUGUAAUGCGUCCGAGAGCAUUUCCUUGGGCCCAUGAAAAUACAAUGAAACCUUUACUUAAGGAAAUAAACACCCUGACUCCACGGAUCUGGCGCAUAAGCCCCAGUGUUUGGAAUCGAACGGGCUUAUUUUUAUUUAUUUUACCAGCCAAUUUAAAACAGUUACUAAAUUGAAAUCAGAAGUGCACUGAGCUUAUUCAUAGUUUAUGUAUUUCAUCACCUUGUUCUGUGGAUUAUAUUUUCUAAACGUUAAUCCUCGACAAUCUGCCCUAGAGAGUCUUCCUUCCACAAAGAAAAACAGCUUUCUAACCCCGCAUUUUGUUUUUCACGUGGCGCCAGGAUAGUCUUCAAAUACAAAUGUGAUCAUGGCAACAUUCUGCUCAAAACUCUUUAUGUGGUUUUUCAGUUACUCUUAGAAUAAAUAUAGUUACGGCUUUGAAGUCCUCGGAUUGCCCAACUUUCUCGCCCCUUCACUAUACACUGAACUGGAGUUACAGAAGUACAAAGAGUAUGCAACAAUGGAAGAUAUGCCUGGCAAGUUCUGCUUUGGUGAUAGUAUAUCUCAGAAAAACACUCAGCUGGGAUGUGGCCAGAAGAAUGGCUGACACAGAGAUCUAUUCAAUAAACUUUUACGGAGGUGUUCAAUACAUGAAAGGACUCCUUGAAGGAUAUGCUCUAACAGUGUCCCGACUGCUGGCACUCUUUCUGAUUCCACAGCUGCUGGAGUGACUUAGCAGUUGGCUAGGCAUACCCUGAACUACAGAAGAUGUAUGCUGGGCCAGAAGCAGGCCUUCUUCCUGCAGACUUGGAAGGAGCUGAUGACAAAGGCCUGCCAACAGUGCU